GUCAUGACACGAGACGGAGGAAUUCCCUUUCGAGACGCUCACAGCAAUGCACGUAACAAUGGCACGUCUUAUCAAUCAUGGUGCGUGACGUCAUUUAUGAACGGCCCCAAACAAUACAAACACAGGGUUUGCGUGCGGGCGAAGGCGGCGUGGCAUGGGCAGAGGUGAUGGUGGUGGUGGUCUGGUGCGCUGGCUACCGUCGGAAGUAGAGGAGGAAGUUGACCCAGGCGAGGAACACGGCCACGGCCCCCGCCGACCAGGUCCACGCCUCCGCGUUGCCCGUCAUCAUGGGCACGACGAACACGACGCAGGAGCUGUACAGCACCCACUCCAGCAGGAAACCAUUGAACUCGGAGGAAGCUCAUGCACGAACGGCGGGGAGAACAUGACAAACUCCAGACAGAAAGCGGGCCGGGGUCGGGAAUCGAACCCAGGUCCUUAUUUUGUUGCUGUGAGACACAAGCGUUACCACUGCGUCAUCCUGCCGCACAGAUAUGCCCCUCCGCUGCAAUGUAUGUGUGUAUGCAUGUUUAACUUCUUUCGUACCGUACGUAGCCAACCGCGCUAACCGGAGGUGUGGGCG